rnacentral:rRNA from 1 species
CAGUAGCCGCGGGAAUACAGAGGGUGCGAGCGUUAAUCGGAUUUACUGGGCGUAAAGCGUGCGUAGGCGGCUUCUUAAGUCGGAUGUGAAAUCCCUGAGCUUAACUUAGGAAUUGCAUUUGAUACUGGGAAGCUAGAGUAUGGGAGAGGAUGGUAGAAUUCCAGGUGUAGCGGUGAAAUGCGUAGAGAUCUGGAGGAAUACCGAUGGCGAAGGCAGCCAUCUGGCCUAAUACUGACGCUGAGGUACGAAAGCAUGGGGAGCAAACAGGAUUAGAUACCCGCGUAGUCCCUGUCUCUUAUAA